rnacentral:rRNA from 1 species
GACGAACGCUGGCGGCGUGCUUAACACAUGCAAGUCGAGCGGUAAGGCCUUUCGGGGUACACGAGCGGCGAACGGGUGAGUAACACGUGGGUGACCUGCCCCCUACUCUGGGAUAAGCCUGGGAAACUGGGUCUAAUACCGGAUAUGACCUCUCAUCGCAUGGUGGGUGGUGGAAAGUUUUUUCGGUGGGGGAUGGGCCCGCGGCCUAUCAGCUUGUUGGUGGGGUGAUGGCCUACCAAGGCGACGACGGGUAGCCGGCCUGAGAGGGCGACCGGCCACACUGGGACUGAGACACGGCCCAGACUCCUACGGGAGGCAGCAGUGGGGAAUAUUGCGCAAUGGGCGGAAGCCUGACGCAGCGACGCCGCGUGGGGGAUGACGGCCUUCGGGUUGUAAACCUCUUUCGACCUCGACGAAGCGUGAGUGACGGUAGGGGUAGAAGAAGCACCGGCCAACUACGUGCCAGCAGCCGCCGUAACAC